CUGGAGCUGACGGGGUGUUCUGUUAAAGGCAGUUGGCAGAGAUGCUGGCGAUCCCGGGCAGGGGCAGUGGUCGUCAAACUGCAGCAGGGGCCUGGGAAGAGCAGGGCAGCCCGAAGACUUGCCCAUGGACAUCGUGGAAGUUCAGGCUCUGAGGAGUUGAUGGAAGAAGCUGAGACCCAGAAGUGACCGUGACACACGCGACCCUUGGUCACCUGUGGCCCGGAAGCAGAUGAUCAUCCUUCCAAUGUGUGAUCAGAGGGUCCAUUAAGAGAAAACGCUACGUCACAAUGCCCAUGUCACUCACUCUCGCUUCAUCUCAGCAGGUACCUAAACCUCCCAGACAAAAACUUGAGUAAAGAAGGCAAAUGGUUUUGGUGAAGUCCAGAGGUAUGAUCUUGAGAAGUCCCCUGCACCACUACUAUCACCCUUGGAGUCUUGGCCAAGUGUAUCCUGGCUGCGGAGAGACAGCAAUGCCAGCAAGACCAUAUGCUGCAUCACGGCAAGGUGUUUCUCCAGCUGGCAUAGGAACUGGCUGCCAAUAGACCAUUUCCUGCUCCACGAGCCACCUGCUUCUGGUGUUCUGAUACAUAAUAAGAUCAGGGACUCUCAUGGGCAUUUGCCCAUGGCUUACCUUUUCCCUGUAAAAUGAGUUCCUUGGUCAGAAGUCAUACUGUGUUGAGAGGCCUGCCACUCAGCAGGUCUAGGGAGAGUGUGCUGGCAGCAGCAUAACGACAGCCAGAGAAACCAAAUCCAAAUCCAGAAUAAGGGCCUGUUCCAAAGAGAACAACCGAGCUCCCUUCCCUCAUGGAAAAGGUCCAAUGUAAUCAGCCUGCCACCUGGUAGCUGGCUCCUCCCUCAGGACUCCUCACUGGACUAAAUGGCACUGCCAGUAACUCAGUUCAUCAGGCCAAAAUCCUAGGAGUCCUCAGUCACUUUUCAUUUCCUUUACACUCAAAAUCUAGUUUGCCAACAGGUACUCCUCUUUCUCUCUUUUAUUUAUUUAUUUUCUAAAAGAUUUACGUAUUCAUUUAUUUAUUUGAGAGAGA